UCUAAUAUGAGAGAAAAAUGUAAUGAACUUAAAAUUCAUUCAUAAAGAAAAUAAUCUUUUCUUUAGAA
rnacentral:tRNA from 1 species